UACGGAGGAUCCGAGCGUUAUCCGGAUUUAUUGGGUUUAAAGGGUGCGCAGGCGGGAGAUUAAGUCGGCGGUGAAAUUUUGCAGCUCAACUGUAAAAGUGCCUUCGAAACUGGUUUCCUUGAGUGUAGAUGAAGUAGGCGGAAUUUGUGGUGUAGCGGUGAAAUGCAUAGAUAUCACGAGGAACUCCGAUUGCGAAGGCAGCUUACUAAGCUACUACUGACGCUCAGGCACGAAGGCGUGGGGAUCAAACAGGAUUAGAUACCCCUGUAGU
rnacentral:rRNA from 1 species